rnacentral:lncRNA from 1 species
UCCCCAGACCCCAGACAGGGUGAGGAGGAAACCAGAGUUGGCAAGAAGCUUAAAAAACUUAAGAAGGAAAAAAAGGGGGCCCAGGACCCCACAGCUUUCUCAGUCCAGGACCCUUGGUUCUGCGAGGUCGGGGAUGCUGUGGACACUUGCUCAGUGGGGAAGGAGGGUGAGGAACAGGUAGCCUUGGGGCAGAAGCGGAAGCACAAGAGCCCCAGGGAACACGGUGGGAAGGCGAAGAAGAAAAAAAAAUCCACCAGGAGGGAGACGCCCUCCCAAGCCACUCCAAGCCCUCCAGGUCCAUGGAGAGCUGCCCUAGGAAACGAAGUAAAAAGAAGCCAGUCAAAGUGGAGGCUCCGGAAUACAUCCCCAUAGGAGAUGGCCCUAAAACCCCCGCGAAGAAAAAGAUGAAGUCCAAGAAGAAGGUAAAGCAGCCAGUCAUUGAGGAGCCGGCUCUGCAAAGGAAGAAAAAGAAAAGGAAAGAGAGUGGGGUAGCAGGAGACCCUUGAAAGGAGGAAACAGACACGGACUUGGAGGUGGUGUUGGAAAAGAAAGGCAACAUGGACUAGGCGCACAUAGACCAGGGGCGAAAGGCCUUGCAAGAAGAGACUGAUCGCCAGUCAGGCAAAACGGAAGCUUCUGAAACCAGGAAGUGGACGGGAAGCCAGUUUGGCCAGUGGGAUACUGCUGGUUUUGAGAACGAGGAACAGAAACUGAAAUUUCUCAAACUUACGGGUGGCUUCAAAAACUUGUCCCCUUCGAUUAGCCCCCACCCCCACCCCCACCCUCCCGCCCCACCCAGCCCGAUUGCAAGGUCCAACGUGGCCCUCAGUAAGAAGGUGGCCGACAGUCUGCAGCAGAGCCUGCAGCGGGAAUAUGGCCUGGCCAUGAGCUGAAAGUACAGCCGCGGAGCCGGCCUCGGCUUCUCCACCGCCCCGAACAAGAUCUUUUAUAUUGACAGGAAUGCUUCCAAGUCAGUCAAGCUGGAAGAU